GAACGCACCUUGCGCCCUUUGGCCAUUCCGAAGGGCAUGCCUGUUUGAGUAUCAUGAACACCUCAACUCUCAUGGCUUGCCAUGAUGAGCUUGGACUUUGGGGGUCUUGUCGGCCUGCGGUCGGCUCCUCUCAAAUGGAUCAGCUUGCCAGUGUUUGGUGGCGUCACAGGUGUGAUAACUAUCUGCGCUUGUGGUUUCCCAUCAGAUAACCUUCAGCGAUGGAGGUUCGCUGGGGCUCAUAAAUGUCGCUCCUAAGUGAGGACAGCCCUUUGAACGUUUGAUCUCAAAUCAGGUAGGACUACCCGCUGAACUUAAG
rnacentral:misc_RNA from 1 species